ACUCUAAUAAAACUACCAGGUUACAUCAGCAUAUAUCACAGUAACUCAAGUUAGACAUUAUGAUGUUCUGGACCUUUGCUGACUGGACCUCUCUGAAUUUUAGCUGAAUACCCCUGGCUUAGCAGAAGAGGGACAUGAGUCUACAACUGUCAGGGUCCUCUCCUCAUUCCCUCCCCACCUGGCAUCCCAAACAAAACCCCCUCCCUUAUCCUUUUCCUCCCUGUCUUGCCUCCUGUCUCCCAUCCAUCCCUUUUCCUCUGCUUUCCCUCACAGCACUGCACCUGAGUGGAGUUCGGCUUCACAGCCGUCUCCACUCAGGUAAUCAACCUCCUCCACGAGUCCCGGGCAGCUGGAAGAAAUCAUCCUGAUUACUCACCAAGCAAUAAGUACCGGCUCAACACUCCACACCCUGCCAGAUUGUUGAAAUAGACUUUGCUACCCAGCUGCCCGGGAACUUACCCACCCGAAACCCUCACCUGAACCCCCCAACCCAUUCGGCACCGGUCUCCUCCCCACUCGGAUCCCCCAUUCCGCCCGGACCCCCUCCUGGAACCCCCGACCCAUUUCCUUCCCGGCCGCUGGAGCUGCAGCAGUCAACCGGCUGCUCCCUGCCUCCCGGAGCUCCUCCCGGAACAUCACCAGCGAGACGCCGUCUCUGCCCGGCCAGUCCAACACCUCGGCCCCCUGGAUCGUCAGAGUGCUACGUCUCGUUCCCUCCGAACCCCUCCUCCUCCAUCGAACUCUGAGCCCUUUGACGUCUGGCCGCCAGGGAUCCCCCACAGCCAUCUGCGACGCUCCGGUCCCGCCCGGACCUUGGACAACCGCCGAUCCCCGUCCCCAGACCCACCCGGCCACAUCCUCCCUCCACCAGCAUCCCUGUUCCUGCAUCCCGGUCUCUGCACUCCAGCCAUAUCCACCCCUGUACAAUAAAACCCUUUUUCAACUUC